CCUACGGGGGACAGCAGUGAGGAAUAUUGGUCAAUGGGCGCGAGCCGGAACCAGCCAAGUCGCGUGAAGGAAGACGGCCCUAUGGAUUGUAAACCUCUUUUGUAGGGGAGAAAAAGAAGCCACGCGUGGCGUUUGGAGAGUACCUGAAGAAAAAGGAUCGGCUAACUCCGUGCCAGCAGCCGCGGUAAUACGGAGGAGGCGAGCGUUAUCCGGAUUGAUUGGGUUAAAGGGGGGCGUAGGCGGGAGAUCAAGUAAGCGGUAAAAUUGGGAGGCUCAACCGAUUCGUGCCGUUGAAACUGGGUUUCUUGAGUAAAUGAGAAGUAUGCGGAAUGCGUGGUGUAGCGGUGAAAUGCAUAGAUAUCACGCAGAACUCCGAUUGCGAAGGCAGCAUACCGGCUCUCCACUGACGCUCAUGCACGAAAGUGUGGGUAUCGAACAGGAUUAGAUACCCUAGUAGUC
rnacentral:rRNA from 1 species